rnacentral:rRNA from 1 species
CCUACGGGAGGCAGCAGUGAGGAAUAUUGGUCAAUGGACGAGAGUCUGAACCAGCCAAGUAGCGUGAAGGAUGACUGCCCUAUGGGUUGUAAACUUCUUUUAUAUGGGAAUAAAAUGUUCCACGUGUGGGAUUUUGUCUGUACCAUAUGAAUAAGGAUCGGCUAACUCCGUUCCAGCAGCCGCGGUAAUACGGAGGAUCCGAGCGUUAUCCGGAUUUAUUGGGUUUAAAGGGAGCGUAGGUGGAUUGUUAAGUCAGUUGUGAAAGUUUGCGGCUCAACCGUAAAAUUGCAGUUGAAACUGGCAGUCUUGAGUACAGUAGAGGUGGGCGGAAUUCGUGGUGUAGCGGUGAAAUGCUUAGAUAUCACGAAGAACUCCGAUUGCGAAGGCAGUUCACUGGACUGCAACUGACACUGAGGCUCGAAAGUGUGGGUAUCAAACAGGAUUAGAUACCCCUGUAGUC